UCCUCGGUGGCGCAAUUGGCUAGCGCGUCGUAAGUUAUACCAUGAUGAUAUACAAUGUUGUUUUCUAACAAUAUGACAGUGACUGUUAAUCAGGAGGUUGAAAGUUCGAGCCUUUCCCGGGGAG